GACGCUGCUGCUGCUCUCUGGGGAGCUGGCCGAGGUGGCUUGCCCGCGUGCCGGGGGCUCUGGCGCCAGUGGCACGUGUGCUGGGAGCGCCUGAGCCGUGGUGGCCGCACGGGCUGCCCAGAGGCGCCCGGGGGGCU
ensembl:miRNA